rnacentral:lncRNA from 1 species
GUAUCAGGUGUGGGAGCACGCCUGGAACGUUCCGCGGCUCUGACCUUCUCAGUCGCCCCGGUGUCCAGCGCACCGCGGAUACCGACUCCAGAUGUCAAGCAAGGCCACCGCCGGGCGAUAGCUGCAUGGGGAGAUUGAUAUUGUAUAGCCACGGGCCAAAAAAAAAGGGCUUAAAAACUCCCGGCUGAGAGUAGGUGAGAGAGAGAGAGGUGGAGAGUAGGUGAGAGAGAGAGAGAGAGAGAGAGAGAGAGCUACACUGUCACUGCAGGUUCGCCUUUUAUCCUCAGACAUGGCGGCGGGAGUCAAGCAGAGGCACGACGCGCAGCGGAGGACAAGAGGCGCCGCACAUACCGAUGGAGUCUGACUCCACACUCCCGACCCCGCAGGCGAGUGUCUUACCUGCCGCACACAGAGAAAUGGAAGUACCACCGUGUACCUGUACGGGCACAGACGCUUGCACGCUUCUGAAGAACAACAAUGGACCCGUCCUCGCAGGAGAGCUUCUUUCUGCGCUGCUCCGCACGCCGGCUGCCGAAGUGAUUAGCUGGGAUGAAAGAUAAAGCUUCGGGGAGAGAGAGAGCGAGA